rnacentral:tRNA from 1 species
GUCCCCGUGGCUCAAUUGGAUAGAGCGUUGGCCUCCGGAGCCAAAGGUUGCAGGUUCGAAUCCUGCCGGGGACG